GCUGGGUGCGGUGGCACAUGCCUGUAGUCCCUGCUACUGGGGAGGCUGAGGCUAGAGGACUGCUUGAGGCCAGGAGUUCUGGGCUGUAGUAUGCUAUGCCGAUUGGGUUUCCGCGCUAAGUUUGGCAUCAACAUGGUGACCUCCUGGGAGCGGAGGACCACCAGGUUGUCUAAGGAAGGGUGAAGUGGCCCAGAUUGGAAAUGGAGCAGGUCAAAACUCCCAUGCUGAUCAGUAGUGGGAUCCUGCCUGUGAAUAGCCACUGCCCUCCAGCCUGGGCAACAUAGUGAGACCCCCCUCC
rnacentral:SRP_RNA from 1 species